AGGGUCCCUGGUCCCCGAGCCGUCCCGGGGGGGGCUGGGGGGUGACAGGGUGUCAGUGCAGGGGUGUGCAGGGGUGUGUGGGGAUGUCUGAGGGUCCCUGGGGGUGUGUGGGGGUGUCCCCGGGGGUGUCUGAGGGUGCCCCCCCAGGUGUACAGCGCGGACGGGGAGUUCCUGUUCAAGUUCGGGUCGCACGGGGAGGGGAACGGGCAGUUCAACGCCCCCACGGGGGUGGCCGUCGACGGCAACGGGAACAUCAUCGUGGCCGAUUGGGGCAACAGCCGCAUCCAGGUGUUUGACAGCGCGGGCUCCUUCCUGUCCUACAUCAACACGGCGGCGGAGCCGCUCUACGGCCCCCAGGGGCUGGCGCUGACCUCGGACGGGCACGUGGUGGUGGCCGAUUCGGGGAACCACUGCUUCAAGGCCUAUCGCUACCUGCAGUAGCCACGGGGACCCCCACGGCUGCCCCACGGCCGCCCCACGGCCACCCCAUGGACACGGCCACCCCAUGGACACCCCACGGCCACCCCAUGGACAUGGACACCCCAUGGACACCCCACGGCCGCCCCAUGGACACGGCCGACCCACAGACACAGCCGCCCCACGGCCACCCCACGGCCGCCCCACAGACACCCCACGGACACUGCUGCCCCAUGGACACGGCCAAACCCCAGGCACGGCCGCCCCAUGGAAACAGCCAACCCACGGCUGCCCCACGGACACGGCCACCCCACAGACACCGGACGGACACAGCCGACCCACGGACACCCCACAGACACAGCCACCCCACAGACACAGCUAACCCAUGGACACGGCUGCCCCCCAAGUGCUGCCCCCCAAGUGCCGCCCCACAGCCACGGCCGCCCCCCCGAGCGCCACCCCGGCUUCACGUGCACUUUAUCGGGGGGGGGCCAGGCCCAGAGGGGGGCGAGGAGGGG
rnacentral:lncRNA from 1 species